CACACAGGGCAGCAAUGGAGAAGUUUACCAAAGGAGCCAUGCUGCCACAGUUUGCCCUAAAGUGCCAAACUUUCUCACAUUUCUGCAGAGAAAAGGAGACAACAAUGUGUGUUAUGAGCCGCGGAUUUCAUGAAGAUAUUGUUUGGCUGUGAUGAGGCCGGCGCCGUCAUCAUGUCGGGCUGUCGAUUCAGUGUCUGUCUCCUGAGCCUGCAGCUCUUAUUAACAUGAGCAGCAGUCAAAAGGACAAUAAAUCGGGAUGGUCCAGUUUUCCCCCACUAUCUCCUCAAGACUUCAUGACAUUUUCAGGAUGAGCUGCAUGUGAACGUAAGUAAAAAAUUUCACCCUGACUUUAUCUGGAAUUUUUCCUGAUAUAGUCCCCUUGUCAAAUAUCCACAAGAAGUCAGGGAUGAAUCAGGGAGCACACAGUGAGAUGGGAAGAGGGGGAUGAUGAUGUAAUGCUCACUGGUGCAAAGGAAGAGCAACAUAUCAUGGGGUGAAUAAAAACAUCCAAGGUUAAGGAAGAAGAAGAAUUUUCAAGACAAGAACAGAAAUGUGUCCGUCUGUUUGCACGUAGCAUUGAUAUAAAUGCAAAAACUGUCCACCAUUGUUGUAAACAUUACAAUAUGGCCUCCCAAGGGUGCUUUUGAUGUCAUGUCCUGCCUCCAGAGACUCGCUUCCCCCUGUCCACCACCUACAUCAUCUGACAGGGAGACGUCAGGCUGAGAGGGACAUGUGUGAAAAGCAACUUUGAAACAUUUUAGGGACAGAGCUCAUUAAAACUUCUUGGAAAUUUUAGUGAUGUCUUUCUCAAAACCUCCUCGGGUCUAAUAAUCCUGUAAAGAACACUGCAGGUAUGGAAGCAUAUAUGUAACAAAAUUAAAAUGAA